rnacentral:rRNA from 1 species
GACGAACGCUGGCGGCGUGCCUAAUACAUGCAAGUCGAGCGGACGAAUCGAAAGCUUGCUUUUGAUUCGUUAGCGGCGGACGGGUGAGUAACACGUGGGCAACCUGCCCUGUAGACGGGGAUAACACCGAGAAAUCGGUGCUAAUACCGGAUAACACGAAAUGUCGCAUGACGUUUCGUUGAAAGACGGCGCAAGCUGUCGCUACAGGAUGGGCCCGCGGCGCAUUAGCUAGUUGGUGAGGUAACGGCUCACCAAGGCGACGAUGCGUAGCCGACCUGAGAGGGUGAUCGGCCACACUGGGACUGAGACACGGCCCAGACUCCUACGGGAGGCAGCAGUAAGGAAUCUUCCGCAAUGGACGAAAGUCUGACGGAGCAACGCCGCGUGAGCGAAGAAGGCCUUCGGGUCGUAAAGCUCUGUUGUUAGGGAAGAACAAGUAACGCAGUAACUGGCGUUACCGUGACGGUACCUAACGAGAAAGCCACGGCUAACUACGUG